rnacentral:rRNA from 1 species
UACAGAGGGUGCAAGCGUUAAUCGGAAUUACUGGGCGUAAAGCGUGCGUAGGUGGGAAGAUGAGUUGGAUGUGAAAUCCAUGGGCUUAACCUGUGGCGGUCAUCCAAGACGGUCUACCUAGAGUAUAGUAGAGGGAAGUGGAAUUUCCGGUGUAGCGGUGAAAUGCGUAGAUAUCGGAAGGAACACCAGUGGCGAAGGCGUCUUUCUGGACUUUAACUGACACUGAGGCACGAAAGCGUGGGGAGCAAACAGG